GUGAACGCUGGCGGUAGGCCUAACACAUGCAAGUCGAACGGCAGCACAGUAAGAGCUUGCUCUUACGGGUGGCGAGUGGCGGACGGGUGAGGAAUACAUCGGAAUCUACUUUUUCGUGGGGGAUAACGUAGGGAAACUUACGUUAAUACCGCAUACGACCUACGGGUGAAAGCAGGGGAUCUUCGGACCUUGCGCGAUUGAAUGAGCCGAUGUCGGAUUAGCUAGUUGGCGGGGUAAAGGCCCACCAAGGCGACGAUCCGUAGCUGGUCUGAGAGGAUGAUCAGCCACACUGGAACUGAGACACGGUCCAGACUCCUACGGGAGGCAGCAGUGGGGAAUAUUGGACAAAGGGCGCAAGCCUGAUCCAGCCAUACCGCGUGGGUGAAGAAGGCCUUCGGGUUGUAAAGCCCUUUUGUUGGGAAAGAAAAGCAGCAGGUUAAUACCCCGCUGUUCUGACGGUACCCAAAGAAUAAGCACCGGCUAACUUCGUG
rnacentral:rRNA from 1 species